UCCUACGGGAGGCAGCAGUGGGGAAUAUUGGACAAUGGGGGGAACCCUGAUCCAGCCAUGCCGCGUGUGUGAAGAAGGCCCUCGGGUUGUAAAGCACUUUCAGCGAGGAAGAACGCCUAGCGGUUAAUACCCGCUAGGAAAGACAUCACUCGCAGAAGAAGCACCGGCUAACUCCGUGCCAGCAGCCGCGGUAAUACGGAGGGUGCAAGCGUUAAUCGGAAUUACUGGGCGUAAAGCGCGCGUAGGUGGCUUGAUAAGCCGGUUGUGAAAGCCCCGGGCUCAACCUGGGAACGGCAUCCGGAACUGUCAAGCUAGAGUGCAGGAGAGGAAGGUAGAAUUCCCGGUGUAGCGGUGAAAUGCGUAGAGAUCGGGAGGAAUACCAGUGGCGAAGGCGGCCUUCUGGACUGACACUGACACUGAGGUGCGAAAGCGUGGGUAGCAAACAGGAUUAGAUACCCUGGUAGUCCACGCCGUAAACGAUGUCGACCAGCUGUUGGGUGCCUAGCGCACUUUGUGGCGAAGUUAACGCGAUAAGUCGACCGCCUGGGGAGUACGGCCGCAAGGUUAAAACUCAAAUGAAUUGACGG
rnacentral:rRNA from 1 species